rnacentral:lncRNA from 1 species
ACUUUCUUCAGGGCUAUCAGAUGAAGGCAGCAACGAAAACACCACCACAAGACCAACUUCAGGCUGGAGCUGAUGAUGCCACACAGCGAGAAAAAAGGUAUAAUAUUAGGCAGAAACCCAAUAUAAAAAGAAAAGCAGAGUUGUUGUAGAUUCAUCGAGGGUUGGCGACCUGGUUCCAAUGAGCCAUCUCCCUGUUCCGACAGGGGCUUCCUGGAGCUCCUGCAACCCCAGGCAUUAGUUCCGGUGCAGUUCUAGGAUCAGAUCAAUUCACUCGACAACAAGAGAAACAAAUGGAGAUUCCUACACAAAGACUUUCAAGCACAAAGAAAUCCUGCUGCCUGUAAAGCGGAGCUGCCUCAGCCCUUGAUGAACGACAGAAAAUCUCACAUUCCAGGAAUUCAGAUGAAGUGAAGUGCUCUCAUGGGGACCAGGCAUGGUUAUGCCAGUCCACUGCCCUGCAAGCCUCAAGGGAAGCCAACUGCCCUUCAGCAAGUCACACCUGCCUUGGUGGAGGCCUUGAUUGGAAGUGCCACACGCUACAUGUCCAGUCCUGAGCGGGAGAAUCGGUGUAGGGACGUUCUGGGGAUGCCAGCUGUGGCCAGAUCAGGUCCAACUACAGAAGAAUAAUGAAGACUCCACCUGAGGGCUGGAAAAACAAAACCUCAAGUGUGAGGCAGCCAACCUGUUACCUCGAGGGACUGUUCCGCAGCACAGCGGGGCCAUGGGAACAGCAGCAGACACCCCGACCUCCUCGCUACCUGUGUGUGUAUUAACACGCCGGCCUCCUCGCUACCUGUGUGUGUAUUAACACGCCGGCCUCCUCGCUCCCUGUAUCAACUAUGGCCUGAGUAUGAUAGACUUAUCCAUGGUUUAAACAGAAUAUAUUGUUUUCAACUUUGAAAAUAAGAAUAUGGAAAUCCAGAUGCAGAAAUGUGAGAAGAAAAGAGAGUAAACAGAGUGGAAGGUCAGGUGACCUUGCCUGUCAUGAAUAUGAAGGUCAAGGUGUGUGAAUUGUGAAAUUUCCAAGAGAACCUCACUGAAGCAAAGAAUGAAGAAAGAAUUGCAUUUGGCCCUGGGAGGGUGCAGGGGUGAAUGGUGCAGGAGCUAAAUCUUUAUCAUACCCAGAAAUCAACAGCCACUAUUUGAAAUCAUCUAAAUUCGUGCUGCUAACCUUCAGUGUACACACGAAUCACCUGGGGAUCUUACUAAAAGCUAGUUUCUGAUUCACUAAA